GAUGAACGCUGGCGGCGUGCCUAAUACAUGCAAGUCGAGCGAACAGACGAGGAGCUUGCUCCUCUGACGUUAGCGGCGGACGGGUGAGUAACACGUGGAUAACCUACCUAUAAGACUGAGAUAACUUCGGGAAACCGGAGCUAAUACCGGAUAAUAUGUUGAAUCGCAUGGUUCAACAGUGAAAGACGGUCUUGCUGUCACUUAUAGAUGGAUCCGCGCCGCAUUAGCUAGUUGGUAAGGUAACGGCUUACCAAGGCAACGAUGCGUAGCCGACCUGAGAGGGUGAUCGGCCACACUGGAACUGAGACACGGUCCAGACUCCUACGGGAGGCAGCAGUAGGGAAUCUUCCGCAAUGGGCGAAAGCCUGACGGAGCAACGCCGCGUGAGUGAAGAAGGUCUUCGGAUCGUAAAACUCUGUUAUUAGGGAAGAACAAAUGUGUAAGUAACUAUGCACGUCUUGACGGUACCUAAUCAGAAAGCCACGGCUAACUACGUG
rnacentral:rRNA from 1 species